CAGAUGGACAAUGUAAUUUCACAAGCACAAGCAACACUAGGAGCACUUGUCUUCCAACGUUCAACAUUUGGCGGUAUCAAUUCAAAGCUCGGCAAUGUGAGCAGUCGCCUCCCAACGGUAAAUAACAUACUUUCAGCAAUAAAGAGAAAAAAGUCAAUGGAUACCAUUAUACUUUCCCUUGUUGCAGCCGUAUGCACAUUUCUCAUUUUCAUGUACUGGCUAUCCAAGUGAAGCUGUUGUUUUUGUUGGGUGCUCAACUUUUGUAAACUCUUGUAUGUUCCUUUGUCUAUUGGCCUUGAUAGCUCGUGCCAUGCUGAAACACAUUUUGCAAGUUGUCUAUUUUUUUAAUCGAUCGUUUAUCCAUGUAUCAGAAAGCAAUACCGAGUAAAGAUCAGAAAUUACAUAUUACAUAGUGUUCCAUUUCUUGGUUCCGAUUUCAUAUA